rnacentral:rRNA from 1 species
AUUGAACGCUGGCGGCAGGCCUAACACAUGCAAGUCGAGCGGAGCGGGGACGGGUGAGUAACACGUGGGUAACCUCCCCAUCAGCGGGGAUAACACUUGGAAACAGGUGCUAAACCGAUACUGAUGGAUGGACCUGCGGUGCUUUAGCUAGUUGGGGAGGUAACGGCUCACCAAGGCCACGAUUCCUAGCCGACCGGAGAGGGUGAUCGGCCACACUGGGACUGAGACACGGCCCAGACUCCGACGGGAGGCAGCAGUGGGGAAUAUUGCGCAAUGGACGAAAGUCUGACCGAGCAACGCCGCGUGAGUGAAGAAGGUAUUCGGAUCGUAAAACUCUGUUGUUAGGGAAGCGGUAUCUAACCAGAAAGCAACGGCUAACUACGUGCCAGCAGCCGCGGUAAUAC